CGCUGGCGGCGUGCCUAAUACAUGCAAGUCGAGCGAAUCUGAGGGAGCUUGCUCCCAAAGAUUAGCGGCGGACGGGUGAGUAACACGUGGGUAACCUGCCUGUAAGAUUGGGAUAACUCCGGGAACCGGAGCUAAUACCGGAUAACAUUUUGAACCGCAUGGUUCAAAAUUGAAAGACGGCUUUGGCUGUCACUUACAGAUGGACCCGCGGCGCAUUAGCUAGUUGGUGAGGUAACGGCUCACCAAGGCAACGAUGCGUAGCCGACCUGAGAGGGUGAUCGGCCACACUGGGACUGAGACACGGCCCAGACUCCUACGGGAGGCAGCAGUAGGGAAUCUUCCGCAAUGGACGAAAGUCUGACGGAGCAACGCCGCGUGAACGAUGAAGGCCUUCGGGUCGUAAAGUUCUGUUGUUAGGGAAGAACAAGUACCAGAGUAACUGCUGGUACCUUGACGGUACCUAACCAGAAAGCCACGGCUAACUACGUGCCAGCAGCCGCGGUAAUACGUAGGUGGCAAGCGUUGUCCGGAAUUAUUGGGCGUAAAGCGCGCGCAGGCGGUUUCUUAAGUCUGAUGUGAAAGCCCACGGCUCAACCGUGGGGGGUCAUUGGAAACUGGGGAACUUGAGUGCAGAAGAAGAGAGUGGGAAUUCCACGUGUAGCGGU
rnacentral:rRNA from 1 species